GAUGAAGAACGUAGCGAAAUGCGAUACUUGGUGUGAAUUGCAGAAUCCCGUGAACCAUCGAGUCUUUGAACGCAAGUUGCGCCCGAAGCCAUCAGGUUGAGGGCACGUCUGCCUGGGCGUCACAUAUCGUUGCCCAAUGCCUAUUGCAGUGCAAUAGGAAUUUCUAGGGCGAAUGAUGGCUUCCCGUGAGCGUUGUUGCCUCGCGGUUGGUUGAAAAUCGAGUCCUUGGUAGGGUGUGCCAUGGUAGAUGGUGGUCGAGUUAGAACGAUACCGAUCAUGUGCAUGCUCCCCAAAAUAUGGCCUCUAUGACCCACACGCGUCUUUUGACGCUCAUGACGAGACCUCAGGUCAGGCGGGGCUACCCGCUGAAUUUAAGCAUAUCAAUAAGGAGGA
rnacentral:misc_RNA from 1 species